AUGGCGGAGUCGACGGCGAGCAUCGGCGGGUACAUGGCGUCGGGGUACCGGAGGGUGGCCGGCGUGCAGCUCUCCAUCAACCACCUCAAGCCCGCCCGCAUCGGCGACCGCAUCGAGACCAAGGCGAACCCCAUCCAGGUCGGCCGCAACGUCCAGGUAGAGGUCGAGGGACGAGGUGUCUCCAAGCAGAGGCCGGUCUUCUGCAACCUGCAACUACGAUCUUGGACGGCCGGCGCGCGCGGGGUUGCAGCGUGCAGGCACGAUUAUUCAUCCGGUCUCUGUCCACAGUUGAUUGGCACCUACUGGCUAGCUAAGAUGUGUUUCCCCACCUGCCUAUUGCCUGUCGUCUUCAUGAUGUAA
rnacentral:rRNA from 1 species